AUUUGAACCAAAACUAAAAUGUGCACUCAUUUAAAAAUUACAAGUGCAUUCAGUCACUUAUUCAAGAAUUAAACACACUCAGGUUUUUGUCCUAAAUAUAGGUAAAACCAGAUCUGAUUUAGCUGCUGUCCAACCU